GACAGGUAAGAGCUGUGAGGGGACAGGUGAGAGGUGUGAGGGGACAGGUGACAGAUGGAGGGACAGUGCUGAGGGGACAGGUAAGAGCUGUGAGGGGACAGGCCCUGUGUGCCCCCCCAGGCUGUCAGAGCUGCUUCCCUGGAGGUCUCCCAGAAGCCCAGCAGUGGGAUGCACUGUGAGCGCCCAUCCAGCACCUGCCAGCGGUGGGAACAGGGAAACCGCAGCCAAGGUUAUCAUAAAGAGAUGGCAGGCAUUGCACUUUUGUUUUCUAUUAAGCCAUCCUCACCUUAAUGAAAAGUUGUAGUGUUGCUGCCUACUACACCUAGAUUUGAAGAGCUGACAGGCUCCUAUAGCUAUGCCUGUUCCAGUUGCCAAAGCUGGCCAGUUAUCCCUUCCUGUGGAAUGAAAAACCUUCUCCCUGCCCCAGCUGGUGACCCCGUGAAUGAACACUGAGAGUUUGGUGACACUUGUGCUGCUCUCCCCCAGAUACUCACCCAAGGAGCAGAUAAUGCACCCUGGGUUUGUUAGUAACUUAUGUUACCCACUGACUGUGGUAAAGAUGUUUGGACCAAAAUAAUGGAGAAGAGUUUCCUUCAGAGUGUGGAGAAUUUGA